AGCGAACGCUGGCGGCAGGCCUAACACAUGCAAGUCGAGCGGCCGUAGCAAUACGGCAGCGGCAGACGGGAGAGUAACACGUGGGAACGCGCCCUUCGGUUCGGGAUAACUCAGGGAAACUUGGGCUAAUACCGGAUACGCCCUUACGGGGAAAGAUUUAUUGCCGAAGGAACGGCCCGCGUCCGAUUAGCUUGUUGGUGAGGUAACGGCUCACCAAGGCGACGAUCGGUAGCUGGUCUGAGAGGAUGACCAGCCUCACUGGGACUGAGACACGGCCCAGACUCCUACGGGAGGCAGCAGUGGGGAAUAUUGGACAAUGGGCGCAAGCCUGAUCCAGCCAUGCCGCGUGGGUGAUGAAGGCCCUAGGGUUGUAAAGCCCUUUCAGCGGGGAAGAUAAUGACGGUACCCGCAGAAGAAGCCCCGGCUAACUUCGUGCCAGCAGCCGCCGUAAUAC
rnacentral:rRNA from 1 species